GGCUCUGUGGCGCAAUGGAUAGCGCAUUGGACUUCUAGGCUGUGAGCUGAGCCAUUCAAAGGUUGUGGGUUUGAGUCCCACCAGAGUUG
rnacentral:tRNA from 1 species